UCUCACGAGUAACCGCCCUAUCAACUGGAUGGUAGGUUAAACGCCUACCAUGGUUGUAACGGGUAACGGGGAAUCAGGGUUCGAUUCCGGAGAGGGAGCCUGAGAAACGGCUACCACAUCCAAGGAAGGCAGCAGGCGCGCAAAUUACCCACUCUCAGAACGAGGAGGUAGUGACGAAAAAUACUUGUGCGGUACUCAUAUUGAGUAUACGUAACAGGAAUGAGUAAGAUCUAAAUCCUCCAACGAGGAUCUAUUGGAGGGCAAGUCUGGUGCCAGCAGCCGCGGUAAUUCCAGCUCCAAUAGCGUAUAUUAAAUUUGUUGCGGUUAAAAAGCUCGUAGUUGGAUCUCGCUCUGUGUGAGUGUUUUCAAGUGAUGUGAACACGGAAUACAUAGGUGUCUUCGCAGUCAGAGUUGCAUCUUCUGGCUUUCAGCUGUGUCUCUUCGCGGUCUUGCUGUAACAGGCAAGUCGUGUUGUCUCAUCAGUUGAUAAGUUCAGUUGCUCUGCACUUUGGUUCGAGUUCAUUUUGUGUAAUCCGGUUUGUCUCACAUUGAUAUACUUGAUUACACAUACAACACACAGUGGCAAAUGAGUUGAUGUGAAGCGCCUCUUAACCGAGGACUUUUGCAUUUUGCAACUCAUAAUGAUUACUUUGAACAAAAUAGAGUGCUCAAAGCGGGCAAUGCCUCUAUACAAGGCUUGCUUGAAUAUUACCCCAUGGAAUAUCAGAACAGGACUACUGUCCCGCUUUCUGUUGGUCUCCGGGAUAGAAGUAAUGAUUAAGAGGGACAGACGGGGGCAUCAGUAUAGUGACGCUAGAGGUGAAAUUCUUGGACCGUCGCUAGACUAACAACAGCGAAAGCAUUUGCCAAGAAUGUUUUCAUUAAUCAAGAACGAAAGUUAGAGGUUCGAAGGCGAUUAGAUACCGCCCUAGUUCUAACCAUAAACGAUGCCAACCAGCGAUCAGCUCGUGCCCAAUUCAAGGGGAGCUGGGAACUUUUCCGGGAAACCACUAAGAUGGGUUCCGGGGGAAGUAUGGUUGCAAAACUGAAACUUAAAGGAAUUGACGGAAGGGCACCACCAGGAGUGGAGCCUGCGGCUUAAUUUGACUCAACACGGGGAAACUCACCCGGCCCGGACACUAGAAGGAUUGACAGAUUGAUAGCUCUUUCUUGAUAUAGUGGGUGGUGGUGCAUGGCCGUUCUUAGUUGGUGGAUCGAUCUGUCUGGUUAAUUCCGAUAACGAACGAGACUCUGACUUGAAUUAGACUGUUUAUUGUGUUACUUGUCUUCUAGUUGUUGUUACUGGGGAUUUCGGUCUUCAAGUGCAGCAGCACGGCAAACUAACACAAUACAGAUUUGCUUCUUAGAGGGACACGCGACGUCAGUCGCACGAAAAAGAGCAAUAACAGGUCUGUGAUGCCCUUAGAUGUCCGGGGCCGCACGCGCGCUACAAUGAUGUAAGCAGCGUGUUCUAAGCAGUUAACCCUGUUACUCUGCUCCGAGAGGAGUGGGUAACCACUGUGAAUUCACUCAUCGUACUUGGGAUAGUGCAUUGCAACUAUGCUCUUGAACGAGGAAUUCCCAGUAAGCGUGAGUCAUCAGCUAGCGUUGAUUACGUCCCUGCCCUUUGUACACACCGCCCGUCGCUACUACCGAUAGAUAGAUUAGGCGAGGUGAUUGGAUCUUCAGGACUGCUACACUUUACGGUGAAGUAGUCCUCAUGUUGAGAAGGUCACCAAGCUUGAUCAUUUAGAGGAAGUAAAAGUCGUAACAAGGUUUCC
rnacentral:rRNA from 1 species